rnacentral:rRNA from 1 species
GAGGAGAGUAUCCUAAGGCGCUCGAGUGAUCCGUGGCUAAGGAACUAGGCAAAAUGGUCUCGUAACUUCGGGAGAAGAGACUCCCCUCGUGAGAGGGGACGCAGUGAAGAGGCCCAGGCGACUGUUUAACAAAAACACAGGACUCUGCAAAAUCGUAAGAUGAAGUAUAGGGUCUGACACCUGCCCGGUGCUGGAAGGUUAAGGAAGGGGGUUAGUGCGUAAGUGCGAAGCUCUUAACUGAAGCCCCAGUAAACGGCGGCCGUAACUAUAACGGUCCUAAGGUAGCGAAAUUCCUUGUCGGGUAAGUUCCGACCUGCACGAAUGGUGUAACGAUCUGGGCACUGUCUCAGCCACGAGCUCGGUGAAAUUGAAGUAUCGGUGAAGAUGCCGAUUACCCGCAACGGGACGGAAAGACCCCGUGAACCUUUACUACAACUUCACAUUGAGCUUGAAUACAGGAUGUGUAGGAUAGGUGGGAGGCUACGAAGCUGUGACGCUAGUCAUGGUGGAGCCAACGUUGAAAUACCACCCUUCCUGUAUUUAGGUUCUAAUCCCUAAAAGGGAAACAGUGUGUGGUGGGUAGUUUGACUGGGGUGGUCGCCUCCAAAAAAGUAACGGAGGCUCGCAAAGGUACACUCAGCAUGGUCGGUAAUCAUGCGAAGAGCGUAUUAGUAUAAGUGUGCUUGACUGAGAGACCGACGGGUCGAUCAGGAACGAAAGUUGGCUAAAGUGAUCCGGUGUUUCCGCAUGGAAGGGACAUCGCUCAAAGGAUAAAAGGUACUCCGGGGAUAACAGGCUGAUCCUACCCAAGAGCUCAUAUCGACGGUAGGGUUUGGCACCUCGAUGUCGGCUCGUCACAUCCUGGGGCUGGAGAAGGUCCCAAGGGUUGGGCUGUUCGCCCAUUAAAGUGGCACGCGAGCUGGGUUCAGAACGUCGCAAGACAGUUCGGUCCCUAUCUGUUGUGGGCGCAGGAAUAUUGAAGGGAGCUGAUUCUAGUACGAGAGGACCGAAUUGGACGUACCGCUAGUGUACCGGUUGUGGCGCCAGCUGCACCGCCGGGUAGCUAUGUACGGCAAGGAUAAGCGCUGAAAGCAUCUAAGCGCGAAGCCAUCCCUAAGAUGAGUAUUCCAGCACGUAAGUGUAAAGGACCCCAGAAGACUACUGGGUUGAUAGGUUAUAGGUGGAAGUGCAGUAAUGUGCGUAGCCGAGUAAUACUAAUUGUCCGACAGCUUCCUUUU